AAAUUCUGACAGUGGGGGAACCCUGCUCCAGCCUUCCCGCGUGGAUGAUGACGGCCUUCGGGUGGUACAGUACUUUUGGUAGAGAAGAAACGGUACCUCCUAAUACGAGGUACUGCUGACGGUAUCUGCAGAAUAAGCACCGGCUAACUACGUCCCAGCAUCCGCGGUAAUACGUAGGGUGCAAGCGUUAAUCGGAAUUACUGGGCGUAAAGCGUGUGUAGGCGGUUCGGAAAGAAAGAUGUGAAAGCCCAGGGCUCAACCUUGGAACUGCAUUUUUAACUGCCGAGCUAGAGUAUGUCAGAGGGGGGUAGAAUUCCACGUGUAGCAGUGAAAUGCGUAGAUAUGUGGAGGAAUACCGAUGGCGAAGGCAGCCCCCUGGGAUAAUACUGACGCUCAGACACGAAAGCGUGGGGAGCAAACA
rnacentral:rRNA from 1 species